CACUCAUUAAAAGUAAGCAAUUGUUAGGAGUACUACUAGUAAUGAUACUGUGAACCCAACAAAAGUUUUUAAGCAAACUUACUGACUUCUUAAUCCCCUAGGCUUUCUCUUUUGUUUUGGUUGUUGCUUUUGAGGUUUUAUUUUUUGUACAAUAUUUAGCAAAAAACUGGAACUGUGAACAAAGCUAUUAUUUAAUUUUUCAAUCUUAUUAUUUCAGCUUUAUGUAGGAAAGGGUUUAGUGCCAAAGACUGUAUUCAUUCAUCAUCACGUCUUUUGGCCAUCAUCGUAUGCAGUAUGAUCAGAUCAAGCUGGGCGUAUCUAAGUGAAAAGGGACCCGGGCCACCUUCUACUUACAAUAUUCCCAUGGGUUUCCUCUGGAAAACCAGUGGGGAGAACCUUGAAGCAGAGAAAACAAACUUUCCCUCCAGCACAUCAUUGUAUAAGCACUAUACCAUCUCUCUGAAUAAAGACGAAGAAAUAAAUUCAGCUUUGGAACUCUGCCAUUGAGUGGCGGCUCCUGCAAAGGGGACAGUUUUCUAUUA
rnacentral:lncRNA from 13 species